AGAUUUGGAACGCAACAUGCUGAACUCUUCGAGUCUCUAUGGAAUGUUUGAUGGCCUUAGCAAACUGAGACGCCUAGAUAUAUCAUUCAAUCCAAUAAAAGGACAUCUUGUACCCGGAACUUUUUCAAGUCUUAGAGAACUAGCAGAAUUGAUGAUAACAUUUUGCCAUCUCAAUGACAUCAAGGAAGGCACAUUUUCUGGACUGAUUCAUUUACGUCGAUUGUAAGUUGAUAAUUUCUUUGCGUG